rnacentral:tRNA from 1 species
GGGCGCGUAGCUCAGUGGUAGAGCACUGUGUUCACACCGCAGGUGUCGCUGGUUCAAUCCCAGCCGCGCCCACCA